ensembl:snRNA U6 U6 spliceosomal RNA
GUGCUCUCUUUGGCAGCACGUAUACUAAAAUAGGAACAAUACAGAGAAGAUUAGCAUGGCCCCUGCACAAGGAUGACAGGUGAACUCAUGAAGUGUUCCAUAUUUAA